rnacentral:lncRNA from 1 species
AUGAGAGGAGAGAAGAGAUUGCCUUUCAUGUCCGUCUCCCAUGGCACGAGGGCCAGUUGCCCAAAGCUUUGUAGAAUGACAUCAUCGUCACCAUUCUCCACUGCGGCCUUGUGGAAAAGCGAUGUGAGCUGUAGCUCCGUGACCAGUCUUGAUGUGCAGGAGCCUCAAACAGAAAUGUUGGGGCAAGUGUGGGGGGCUCCCGCGGCUGCGGCCCCCCGUCUGGGGUCAUCGCCUACUAGAGCUACAGGGGACAGCCGCGAUGGAGACACCAGCUGUGGCCGGAGGCUGGGGGACCAGAGCCUCGCAGGGAAGGGGCGGAGGAGGGGCAGCAGCGCGAAGAACCAAGCCAGGAACAAGGCAGGUGGGAGUCCCGAGGUGGGGGGGAUCCAGAGCCCCCGAGGGAGGGUGACUCAGGUCGGGGAGGCCCGGACCGCGCGCGGGUUUGUGCGAGCCCCCGGCCCCCGCUCUCGGAAGCCUGUCUGGGUUCCUUUCUUUGCUGUUUGAGUUUUCUAUCUCUUUUUAGAGCUGGACCCAGGUCCCAGCGGCCGCAGGGCAGCGGUGCGGAGAGGAAGCCCGGCCCGGGCCCGCGUGGACACCUCUGGGGGCGACAGGGGCGGAGGGAGGGAGAUGGGGCGCCAGCUGAGGGCGCCCAGCGAGCCCGGGAGAUGCCCGCGACCCGGGGCCCCUGAGCUUCCCGCCCGCAAACUUUCCCAGCCAAGUCGGGGUGGCCCGACCCUAGAAAGGGGGAUCCCCAUGCCUCCCCGACUGUCCCCUGGGGCUGGUCACUCA